CAUCCCGGACCGCUCGCCGCCGCCCCGCCGCCAGGUUUUAUUUCUCUGCUGUUGCCUGGCAACAGAGAUGCAACAAGACAUGUCAGAGGUUAAGGAACAGACUAAAAGUCAUUAUGGAAACCAUGUGUCCUUGGAGCAAAAUUUUCUGAUGAAUGGCUCAGACUGCCAUGGACUAAGAAGAACAAAAGGAAAGGUGCUAAAAGAAUCUCAGAAUGAUCAAGUCAAGUAAUUUUUUGGAUAUCUACAAACCAGUAAGAAAGUCACAAACAACCCAAGAGAAAGAGAUCAGAUGUGAAGAGACAUUUCCUGGCAGAACAAACACAUAAUGUCCAUAAGCAUGAGGAGUGAUAUUCAGUGUCAUUAUUGGUCAGGGAAAGGUAAAUCAAAAACCCAACGAGAAGACCUUUUUUUUUGCUCAUUCAGUUAGUAAACGUUAA